UACGGAGGGUGCAAGCGUUAUCCGGAUUUACUGGGUUUAAAGGGUGCGUAGGUGGGUCUGUAAGUCAGUGGUGAAAUCUCCGAGCUUAACUCGGAAACUGCCAUUGAUACUAUAGGUCUUGAAUUAUCUGGAGGUGAGCGGAAUAUGUCAUGUAGCGGUGAAAUGCUUAGAUAUGACAUAGAACACCAAUUGCGAAGGCAGCUGGCUACACAAAUAUUGACACUGAGGCACGAAAGCGUGGGGAUCAAACAGG
rnacentral:rRNA from 1 species